rnacentral:lncRNA from 1 species
UCCACCAUUAUAGAGAUGUGGGUGCCAUCCUGAUGUUGAUCAUUCUUGACUGGUCAAAGUGAUUCAGUUGCAUCGAGAAAGCACAACCACUCUACAGCAUUAGAUACCCCGAGGUAGAGAUGGGGUUGGGCCUAAUAACUAUUAGGUGAGGGAUCCAAUGAUGACUUUACAUCCGCUGGUGUAUGGUGGGUUUGACUUAACUAAG